GCAUCCGGCCGGAUGGGAGGGGUGAACCUAGGUCGUCCGUUGGAGAGGAGGGGGCGGAGGGGGCGGGGCAAAGGAAGGGUGAAAGUGAAAAGCCUACAUCUCCACGCCUCCACAGCACUGCUCCAAACCAUCUUAUUGCCGCCGCAUCAUUGGAGGAUAGGUGUAUCGGUUAAAGCCUGAAGGGAUUUCACAGAGGCGGACAGAUUUAAGCUAGCUAUGGUGAUGCCAAAUUUGUGCAACUCCAUCGGUCUGUAACUCUCAGUUUUUUGAACCAUCCCAACGUCCUCACUGCACCAAGAUCCCAUCGGCGCCUCCUGAAGCUCCUCUGGCUCAUCUGUUCAACGUGAAUGACUGUGCUAGAUGCCUCCACUGCAACGGGUCAGUUCUCCUCUGUCCUGUGAAGGUAGCAGGCCAAAGCUAACCUCCUCUUCUAUCUUUUUGUAAGUUUAGAUCUCCUUUUAUGAAUGACAUCGCUAAUCUGUGCAGUACUCCUGAGUCCUGACUUUAUUCCAUACGAGCUUUACUGCAGGUCUAUAUUUAUGAUGAGAGCGAUACUUUUCUCAUGUGUGGAUUCUAGAACAUGUAUGUGCAAUUUGAUUGUAAUUCCAGAUAUGUAUUUUGUGUGCAGAUUAAUUUUUAGGAUAUUGUGGCAGUCUUAGUAAAUGAGAAACAUGUACACAUUUCAUAGUUGAGUACUCGGCGAAACAACUCAUGAUUUUCAUGUGUGUGUUUUCGAAGAUACAGUCUUUGUAGGUUUAUAUUUCAGUAAGGAGUUUGGGAGCAAACAUUUCGCAUAUAUCAUGUAACUAACGAAUGCUGAUCCUGAUAAUGAAAACCGAGUGUCUGAAAUGA